AACGAACGCUGGCGGCAUGCCUAACACAUGCAAGUCGAACGAGACCUUCGGGUCUAGUGGCGCACGGGUGCGUAACGCGUGGGAACCUGCCCUUAGGUUCGGAAUAACUCCCCGACAGGGGUGCUAAUACCGGAUAAUGUCUUCGGACCAAAGAUUUAUCGCCUUUGGAUGGGCCCGCGUUGGAUUAGCUAGUUGGUAGGGUAAAAGCCUACCAAGGCGACGAUACAUAGCUGGUCUGAGAGGAUGAUCAGCCACACUGGGACUGAGACACGGCCCAGACUCCUACGGGAGGCAGCAGUGGGGAAUAUUGGACAAUGGGCGAAAGCCUGAUCCAGCAAUGCCGCGUGAGUGAUGAAGGCCUUAGGGUUGUAAAGCUCUUUUACCCGGGAUGAUAAUGACAGUACCGGGAGAAUAAGCUCCGGCUAACUCCGUG
rnacentral:rRNA from 1 species